GUUACACACGGAGCUCUCGCGAGAAUUGAGGAUAUGUUUGUUUCUUCACCACGCUUCAGUGCUUUUUGGAAAAAGUGGAAAACAGCGGGGCGGCUGGAAGACAAACAUUUUAUGUGAACGUUUGGUUUUCUUGAUAAUCAGAGCAACCUCCGUGUGCCUUACUUGAAGUAACUCUAGCGAGUUUUGCUAUGUCCCUAGGACGGCAUAGCGUACACAACGCAUCAUGAAGUAUGGAUGCGAUUCUGGCACCAACUGUUCCGUUCCUGCUUUCACCAGAAGCUUUGCGUCUUUAAGCUUCCUUUCAUUAGAAUUUGGAUCCAAGUUUGUGGGGAAGACUGUGAAUUCAAUGGAAAGUGUCCUUUUUUUUUUUUUUUUUAAUUUAAGAACUACUUCACCUUAAAUCCCACUUCUCUAAUAAAAUAACUUUUACUGUAUGUUUCCUUCCAAUCUUCAUUGAUAACAGCUUAAAUGUGAUUGCAUAUGUAUUGGGAUUUUAACAUUAUUUUACACAUUAUUUCCAACUUGCCUGCCUUCGAGGAGUUAAAAAUCAAUACAACACAAAAUGAGAUAAUGUUAUGUGGCUGAAUUCUCCCUUAGUUUGUGAAACAUUUUCAUGUAAUUAUCUCAUUUGAGCUCACCCUAUUUGCAGUGGCCAUUUGUCAUCCUUUUGGCAGAGUUUCUCCCUUACCCUGCCCCCCAACACCCUUACAGGAACUGAAAGUGACAGAUACUGGCUUUCCUAGUCUUCCUUAUUACUGGG
rnacentral:lncRNA from 10 species